GAUGAGCGAGUACUACUAAUAUAUAAAGAGCAAGCAUCUCUAGCAGGUAGUCUACAGUUGCUAUUAAAAAAAGAAUAUUGUAAACCACUUCAGUAUUCUUCAUACAAAAGCAAACAUGUCUGGAAAAGGUGAUAAGAAAAAGCCUGUUGAGAAAAAGGAAGAAGGAGAAGAUGCUGCUGCUGGUCAAAAGUCGAAGCUACGGGAAACGAAGCCUGCAGAAGAAAAACCUGAAGAGCCAAAGAAGGGUGGUGGAAAAAAGAAGGGGAAAGGAAAGAAGUGAUAAUUUAAUUUCUUCAUCCAAUGGAACUCUGCAUUCAUUUAAUAUUCUUUCUGUUUAAUAUGUUUGCAAUGUCUGAGCCAAUUAAUUAAAAUUCUUGUUGGA